GAUGAACGCUGGCGGCGUGCCUAAUACAUGCAAGUCGAGCGAACAGACGAGGAGCUUGCUCCUCUGACGUUAGCGGCGGACGGGUGAGUAACACGUGGAUAACCUACCUAUAAGACUGGGAUAACUUCGGGAAACCGGAGCUAAUACCGGAUAAUAUAUUGAACCGCAUGGUUCAAUAGUGUAAGACGGUUUUGCUGUCACUUAUAGAUGGAUCCGCGCCGCAUUAGCUAGUUGGUAAGGUAACGGCUUACCAAGGCAACGAUGCGUAGCCGACCUGAGAGGGUGAUCGGCCACACUGGAACUGAGACACGGUCCAGACUCCUACGGGAGGCAGCAGUAGGGAAUCUUCCGCAAUGGGCGAAAGCUUGACGGAGCAACGCCGCGUGAGUGAUGAAGGUCUUCGGAUCGUAAAACUCUGUUAUUAGUGAAGAACAAAUGUGUAAGUAACUAUGCACGUCUUGACGGUACCUAAUCAGAAAGCCACGGCUAACUACGUG
rnacentral:rRNA from 1 species